UCACCCUACGGGGGGCAGCAGCCGCGGUAAUCCGUAGGUGGCAAGCGUUAUCCGGAAUUAUUGGGCGUAAAGAGCGCGCAGGUGGUUAAUUAAGUCUGAUGUGAAAGCCCACGGCUUAACCGUGGAGGGUCAUUGGAAACUGGUUGACUUGAGUGCAGAAGAGGGAAGUGGAAUUCCAUGUGUAGCGGUGAAAUGCGUAGAGAUAUGGAGGAACACCAGUGGCGAAGGCGGCUUCCUGGUCUGCAAUUGACACUGAGGCGCGAAAGCGUGGGGAGCAAACAGGAUUAGAUACCCGAUAGUCCGGG
rnacentral:rRNA from 1 species